UCAAAGCCCCAAAGAAAGAGGCUUCUGUCUGAAUUCUUAAUGGUUUUUACGCACCUUUAAAAGCUAAUCCUGAUUUUAUCUGUAAAUUCCAAGAUUUGAUAAGGUUAUUGCAUAUGAUAAUGUGAUUGUACAAAAAAUAUUUAAAUGUUGUGGUGUCGUCCCUUUGUACCAGAUAUCCAGAUUGGUGGUGUUUGCCCUGGUCAUCGUGCUACAAGCAUGGAUGAGCACAGCAGACCCUCCGCCCCCCAUGGCCGAAGCCCCACUGAACUUGGAGCAUGUAAAGGAGGCGUACAGUGAAUUAAAGGAAAGGAUUGUGAGUACAGGCAGUGUGGUGGCUGAUUUGGCCAGCAUGUACUAUGAGGAUCAUGUGAAGACCAUAACUGACCCCUACAUCCAGUGGGCUAAAGACAAAACCAGCUCUCUUUGGAACAGAGUCAAAGACCGAGUGUCCAGCUACACAUCCACCUAAAACCUACUAGAAAAAACACCAAAGAAACAACCCAGGAUUUCAGACUUCAAACUUAACACAAAAUCAAACUUAAAAAGAAACCAUUUAUUAACACCAGAAGUGCAUGUAUACAUCAGCUUCCCUUUUCAAUUGUCCUGCUUGGUCACUGUUUGUAGGUGCUCUUGUUGGUAAAAUCACGUCUUAUCUCCAUAUCUUCUUGCAUACUGUGCAUUUUUCCCCCAGUGAUGUAGGCCACUGAUUUUGACUUA